GCAAGUGUGGCCGAGUGGUUAAGGCGCUGUGUUUAGGUCAUGUGAUCCGCAGUGGGUUUCCGCGUGAGUUCGAAUCUCACCGCUUGCA
rnacentral:tRNA from 1 species